rnacentral:rRNA from 1 species
AUGAGGAAAGGAUUAUUCGCCAACAAGGAUGAAUAUCUCUUCUUUGGAGAAGAAAAUAGGCUGAAAAUGUUUCAGCCAAAUACAUUCAAUUUUAAGCCAAAAUCCCAUAUUAAGCUCGAUGAAGCUCAAAGAUGCAUAUUGGAUAACUUUUGGUUCCAAUAUACUCGCAAAAGAGAGGAACAAGGAUAUUUUUUAUCAAUUCUCAACAGUUUGGCUGAAUAUUUUAAUGAAUUAAACAAAAAUGUGCCAAAGCCAGCAAAGGUUGAAAUACCAAAAGUAGAAACUCUAUAUCUCAUAUUCGAUGGAAAUAAACCUGGCAUAUAUUUGGAAUGGGAAAAUAUUGUGGUUGAAAAAAUAGAUGCAAAAAGAAAUGGACAAGAUUUAACAUUCAAAAGAUAUUACAGUAUAGAUGAGGCCUUACUUUGGGCAAGGAAGGUAUUAGGACCAGAUUAUUAUAUUGACCCAAAGGCCAAAGACUAUAUCCAAAUGAAAAGAGGCAUACCUGCUUCACCAACUCCCACAAAGGGGGAGGCAUCAAGCUCAAAAAUUAUAAAGAAGGAAGAAUCCCCAAAAUAUAAGACAUAUCAAGAAUGCCUUCUAAAGGGGGCUUGA